rnacentral:lncRNA from 1 species
UAGUGAUGGGAUCUCCAGGUGUAACUGUGCCCUCAUCAGGGAGUGAUUUAAAUCACCAUGGAAUGAGGCUGAUUUAAGGCCCGGCCAGACAUGAUGGAAACAGAUCCCUGUGUUCACAGCAUCCAGGAAGUGGGUGGGGACUAUUUUAGAAUAGUACACAAGGAGGACUGCAAAAUCUUCUCGGCUCACCUCUCCACAGUCUGUCCUCCUGACAAGAUACUCCUCAAUGAAGAUCCAAGUACAGUCAUACCCCAGGUUACAGACGCUUCAGGUUGUGCAUUUUUGGGUUAAGGACGCGCCGAAACCCGGAAGUACCAGAACGGGUUCCUUCCAGGUUUCGGCAUUCGCACAUGCGCAGAAGCGCUAAAUCACGCUUUGCGCAUGUGCAGAAGUGCAGACUCAUGAUCUGCGCAUGCGCAGACGCGGUGCUGGGGGUUGCGAACACUGUGGGUUGUGAACGUGCCUCCGGCAUGGAUCACGUUCACAACCCAAGCGUCCACUGUAUUGGGAUUUCUAGACAGCUAGAAGGAAAGCAAUUGGUAAAAAGCGGUGCGGGGGGGGGCACGGAGUGUUCCGCCCUUCUCACUCCCCAGCUCAUUUUUUUUAUUUUUAUUAAUAUAUAAUUAUUUAUACCCCAUCUUCUUCACUGACAGGGACUCAAGGUGGCUUACAGAGAAAAUAAGAACAGCUAAAAACAUGGGCCCCCCCAAUUAUAAAAAAUAAAUAAAUGUAUCAACAACAGUGAUCAAAUUAAAAUCACAGGAGAAAUCAGGCAGAGGAUAAAGGGGGCUGCAAAAAAGAAAACAUCCAGGAUAAAUUGUUUCUAUAAUAACUUUCCAGGAAGUACUUAUAGGUCAAAUUAGGCCCACGAAUGUUAAAUAUCACCCAGCUUUUAAAAAAUAUUAUCAUCAUUGCCAUCACAUAAUCUAUGUGGCCACCAGUUGCCACGCCACUUCUUAAUGGAAGCCUGCUAUCAUCUUGCUUACUACAAUUAAUGCCAGAUUGGCAUGGAUGAAGCUUUUUUCCUCUAGAAAACACCAAGAAUAGGGGGAAAAUGAAAUUCAGGGAGUCCCACCAGUCCUUUCUGAGAAACUUCGUAGAAUCUCCCCUAACCUGGAAGUUUACAUUGAUUGGUACUUAUGUCAUUCCCCCAUAUCAAGGGCCCCAUUACCUCCAGCAGCUUAGGGCCUCAUCAAACCUAAAUCCAGCCCUGGUCAGGCCCCUUGCGUAUGAGCGACUCCUCUCUCAGACACAGUUUGAAAUGCUUUGGCACUGCCACGCAUGCCUGCUUGCUUGCCUCCAGAUGGCUACCUUUGACUCUGAGGCCAUUCAACAGCGGCUACUUCAGAACCCACAUUAGGAGAACCUUGGUGGUUCAGUGUUAACCCAAACUAGUGGAAUUUACUUGAAAUACAAUAUGUUCUCUCUCGUCUUCCUCCUCCUCAUUUAUUACAAGGGAGAUGUUUGGCAGAGUCGAGAUCUGGAAAUUUGCCAUUAAGCUGCAAUGGGCUUAGCAAGUUAAUGUUGAUGGGUUUUGAGCAUUAACUCACCAAAGGAGAAUGCCGGCACAUUUGUAGAAUUAUCAGUAUAAUGGAUCCUGGCAUUUCACUCUUACCAUCUUUACAAAUGUCACUUUUCAUUCUAUUGUAAAUUAAACCAAUUUCGUCCAAACCUCCAAAAUAAAGCUUCCUUGCAAGCAACCAGUUCCCAUCUGCUCCACAGUUAAAAAUAUUGCAGCAAGAAAUUGCAGAAGAUAUUAGAGAAAAUGCACCAUUACAGAUACUAUAUGAAGGGUGUAUGAAUUAACCAUUAAGGAUUAAUUUAUACUCUCUUUCUUCAUGGGUAGGGGUUAAAGAGUGCAAGAAAUGAAGGACACCAUGAUCAAAUUAAAGCAAGGUAGAUCUCCACACCUGAAUGAGCUAAUGAAAUAUUAUAAAGGCAAAGAACUGGGAAGGUGAAAACCCCAUUAGACCCAAGAGAUCUCUGACAGUUUACAUCACCUGAAAGUCUCCCUCCGAUAUAUUCCCAAUUAUUACAGGUAGAUUUUAUCCACUUAACAGGUUAAGUUUGCAAACCCCCUCCAUCAUUUAUUCACUCAGGAAUGUAACCUUGUCUCUGCAGCAGCAGCGAGGAAAAAAAUGUGUAUGUUCGGUCUCAUUUACGCUUUUAACCAAUUUAUGCCAGCAUCAUGUAUUUAAAUUAGCUUCAGUGUGCUUUCAUAUAUUAUAACCAUAUUUCAAAGCAAUUUGUGCAAAUGCCAACAGAGGAGGCAAGCUAUAUGUAUCAUGUGUUUGGAGAUUAUAAAGGCUCCAGAUGCCUUUGUAAAGCAAACCUUUCAUGAAUAAAUCAGGAAACAUCCUGAUGCAGGCUUUAUAUAUAGAGCAAGGUAUUCUUAUUUAGGUCACAGCGAGGUUCUGCCAGGUUUGCUAAAAUGGAACAAAUCCCCAGCGUGUAUGCCAAAUGCACAACAUUUCAUAAGACAAGCAAACAUCCCUUGGUUUGAGCCCUUAUUGUGUGCUUGCAACUGUAAAUGACCUCUGUACCUUAAGUAUAUUGGUUUGAUCACCUGAAACUCAAAUCAAAGCUUUCCGACUCUGUACUCAGUAAGUCUCUCCCCCCCAUCUCAUUCGACCCCAUCCACGGUGACAAUGGAUGGUGACAAUGCCCUCAUUUAAUACCCACAUAUACUGCAGCAUAGUAGCAAAACGUGGUAGCUCAGAGACUGAGCUUCCAGUCACGAAUUACCUGGUUCAAAACUUGCCUAGGCUAUGUACUCGUAUAUAAGGAUAAUAAUGCCAUCUGAAAGGGUCCUUGCAGGGAUUACAGCGGGUCAGUUCAGAUGCUACUCUGUUUUUUUUGUCAAUUAUAUUUUAUUAAGUUUCAACAUUUUAACAUAUGCAAUCAAAACACAAUUUCAUCUUUUCUCUUAUUUUUGUCUACUUCCCACCUCUUUUCCUAUGGAGUUGUUUCUCUCCUCCUGCUGCUCCCUGCCUUCUAUCUAUCAAAUCAUAACCACAAUAUUAAAAUCUAACUAUUUCUGUUGUUCAUAACUGAAAGCCUGCUUGCGAGUUCAUCGCACUAUAAUAUUUCUUUAAAUAGUCUGAAAAAGGCAUCCAUUCUUCCAUAAAACACUCAUCAUUAGCUUCUCUUAAUUUUGCCAGCUAUUUCUACUGUUAUAUAUAUAUAUAUAUAUAUAUACUCAUUUUAACCAUCUUUUUAUCUCAACAUGUAUCAUUUCCCAAAAUGCCCUCGCUUUCUUGCAAGCCCACCACAUAUGAGAAAAAGAUCCACCUACCUGUUUACUAAGCCAGAUGUUACUCUAAAUGUGCAGCUACCAACAAAAAUGGCAACUGCAUAUUCUGUUCCCUUCCAUAACAUCUGGAAGAACUUACCCAUGCUCUGACCUCAAGAUGUCCUGCAUGUUGUUAUCCCUGCUUGUUGUUAUCCCUGCUAAGUAUCAAGAUGCAGAUAAGUUCUACUAGAUGUUACAUGCAGCAGCCAUGCAUUUAGCAAAGGAUCUGGCUUGGUUUUGAGACAACGUUCACGAAGCCAUUUAGAACAUCCAGUUACGUGCUGUGCAAAUGCUGCUAAUAAUACUUUCAACAACAACAAUAAUCAUUAGCAAAAAUAACAGCAACACUGGCAAACCUCAAAGAGUUGUUGUAAAGAUUAUUUAGACCAGCAUUUCCCAAACACGGGUCCCCAUAUGUUGUUGUUGGACUACAACUCCCAUCAUCCCUGACCACUGGUCCUGCUAGCAAGGGAUGAUGGGAGUUGCAUUCCAGCAACAGUUGGAGACCCAAGUUUGGGAAACACUGAUUUAGACAGAGCAUGUGAAAUAACUUAGUACAGUAUCAUCUGUUCUGCCUAAUGGAUUCCUGGGACCCAGGAAAACUAGACCUUGAUUUCAUGCAAAGUGCUGAAAAAUAAAACUAGAACAGAGAAGAUUACUCGUGGAAUUUCCUAUCCAGCCAUCACACUCCUUCCCCCUAGGUUGAUGGCUUGUAUAGAGAUCAUUUAAUCAGUUUAUACAUGAUGGGGUGAGGGUAAAGUAACCUACUGCUCAUGACACAUUUGCUAAUCUUAUGUCUCUUCCUGAACUGGAAACAUCUAUUAUACAGGCUCUCAAAGAAUUAGGAUGUAAGGAUUUCCAGAUUGUUGCAGCCAGCUUGAAAUGAUAAAAAGUUAUCCAAAGUGGAGGAAUGUAGAAUGUUUCUUUUUUCUUUUUUUUUAAAGGCCUGGGAGCAAUCUCUCCUCCUUUUUGAGUUGCAAUUUAUAUGUGUGUGUGUGUGUUUUGUUUUAAUACAACUCUGCGCAACAUUGACAAAAGAGUUCGUGGCAAGUUCAUUCCAUCUAAUGAAUCGAUAAAAUCUAAAUGUAAAUGGCACGCGAUACAAGGCUCAUCUGACAAUUCUUUGGAAAAAUGCAUUUUAAUCCACACCAAUCUCUGCUACAACCAUUUGUAACUGAAUGUUCGUACUGAUCAUAGGAUGGUCCUGCUAUGCUUUUUAAUUUCCUCUGUUAUUUUGUGUGUCCACAAAUCUAGCCAAGGGUAUCCCACUCAGGUUGGGAGUCCACAAUGCACUGGUGAAGUGGGAAUUCCUGCAGGAUAAGAAUUCUGCUAAGCCUCAGGAAGACCUGCUGGAGUCUAUGUUGUGGUUCUCUUCACAUCAUCAAUAACCAUCCCACCCAUCUCCUUGAAGGCUGACACUGAGCUGGGGAGAAAACUGCUACGUGGACUGCCAUGUCCACUGCAGAAGCACGAGGAGCACCUAGCUUCGGAGUUGCAUCUAAAAGCUUUGCUCGCUUAUUCUGAAAAUAAUUUGACAAGAACAAAGGACUGCUCUUCAGACAUCGCCUUUGGAAACAGGUUAUAAAACUUCCUGGCAGGGAAGAUCGCUGCUUCAAGAUGAUGCUGACACUGAUCCAGACUAUUGAGACCAGG